UUUCGAUCGUGUAAAAGUUAACUCAAAUUUGUAUGGAGUUGGAACAACUUCGCUUCGUUUGCCGCUAGGGGCGCUGCUCCAACUCCAUAAAAAUUUGAGUUAACUUUUACGCGAUCGA
rnacentral:pre_miRNA from 9 species